rnacentral:rRNA from 1 species
CGACCGGGGGCGACAGCAAUAUGAAGGUCAGGCUGAAGACCUUACCCGAUUAGCUGAGAGGUGGUGCAUGGCCGUCGUCAGUUCGUACUGUGAAGCAUCCUGUUAAGUCAGGCAACGAGCGAGACCCACGUCCACAGUUGCCAGCAUACCCUCCGGGGUGAUGGGUACACUGUGGAGACCGCCGCUGCUAAAGCGGAGGAAGGAGUGGGCAACGGUAGGUCAGUAUGCCCCGAAUCUCCCGGGCUACACGCGGGCUACAAUGGUUGGUACAAUGGGCAUCUACCCCGAAAGGGGAAGGAAAUCUCUUAAAGCCAAUCGUAGUUCGGAUUGAGGGCUGCAACUCGCCCUCAUGAAGCUGGAAUCCGUAGUAAUCGCGUUUCAACAGAACGCGGUGAAUACGUCCCUGCUCCUU